UUAAAUGGCCGCAGUAUUUUGACUGUGCAAAGGUAGCAUAAUCAUUAGUUUCUUAAUUAGAAGCUGGAAUGAAAGGUUGAACGAAAUAAUAACUGUCUCUUUAUAAAUUUAUUAGAAUUUUAUUUUUAAGUUAAAAAGCUUAAAUAUAUUUAAAAGACGAGAAGACCCUAUAGAGUUUUAUAUAAUUUUUUAUAUAAAUUUUAUUUUUAAUUUUAUAAGUUUUAUAAUUAAUUAUAUUUAGUUGGGGUGAUUUGAAAAUUUAAUAAACUUUUUUUUAAUUAAACAUUUUUUUAUGAUUAAUUGAUCCAUUAUUAAUGAUUAAAAGAUUAAAUUACCUUAGGGAUAACAGCGUAAUUUCUUUUUAGAGUUCAAAUCGAUAAAGAAGUUUGCGACCUCGAUGUUGGAUUAAAAUUAAUUUUUGGUGUAGAAGCUAAAAUAUUAAGUCUGUUCGACUUUUAAAAUUUUACAUGAUCUGAGUUUAAACCGGUGUAAGCCAGGUUGGUUUCUAUCUUUAAACAAUUAAGAUAUUUUAGUACGAAAGGACCAAAUAUUUAAAAGAUUUUUUAAAUAUUGAAUUAUAUUAAUGU
rnacentral:rRNA from 1 species